rnacentral:lncRNA from 1 species
GAAAAUGUCAUGGAAAAAAAUAUGCUAUUAAAUACAGACAAAAGUAGGAAAUGGAAUUUAAAUUCCAUUUUUCAUGAAAUUCCCACGCCCUUAAUCAAUUUGUCGGUAAGAUGAAAACAAGUGAUAAAAUUCACUUUGCACAAAUUUUUUGGUGAAUUUUGAUGUUUUGAUGUCUCUAUAAUUAUCGAAGUAUCAUUUCCACUUAAAAGAGACGAGACGCAAUAUCCGAAGUAUCAGAGCAUUUUACGCAAGGCAAAAAAAGAAGAUCCUGCGGCCACCGAGGCGGUGGCGCGUGAAGAAUCGUACGACGGUGUUAUGAAAAGAUACUGAAUCAUACACUAUACUCUGAUCCAACGGCAGUAUUUGCAGCGGCGCAGUGUUUGCAGGUGGGUUACUUUCCUAGCAAAUCCUAUAUAUUUAAAUUUUGGUAUUGAAUUCCUACCCUAACAAAUUAAAUAUUCCUCCUACUUUUCAAUCCCCUAUCACAUCAUCUUUAUCGCCCUGAAAAUUCUCACCCUUUCCCAUGCAAAUUGCAAUGAAUUCACAGUUUUCUAUUGGAGGAGAAUCAAACAAAUAUUAGCCGUGUAAUAUAUGCAAUCUAAUAUGUUUUCUCUCUGAAAUUUAUCAGCUGG